rnacentral:rRNA from 1 species
AAAGAUUAAGCCAUGCAUGUGUAAGUGCAAGCCGUACUAAGGCGAAACCGCGAAAGGCUCAUUACAUCAGUUGUGGUUCCUUGGACUGUACCCAGUUACUUGGAUAACUGCGGAAAAUCUGGAGCUAAUACAUGCCGACAGAGUCCCGACCAGAGAUGGGAGGGACGCUUUUAUUAGAUCAAAACCAAAUAUUCCCCCUCGGGGGAAAGCCAAAAAGGUGACUCUGAAUAACUUUGUGCAGAUCGCACGGCCUUCGCGCCGGCGACGCGUCUUUCAAAUGUCUGCCUUAUCAACUUUCGAUGGUAGGCUCUGCGCCUACCAUGGUUGUAACGGGUGACGGGGAAUCAGGGUUCGAUUCCGGAGAGGGAGCCUGAGAAACGGCUACCACAUCCAAGGAAGGCAGCAGGCGCGCAAAUUACCCACUCCCGGCUCGGGGAGGUAGUGACGAAAGAUAACGAUGCAGGACUCAUUUGAGGCCCUGUAAUCGGAAUGACUACAUUUUAAAUCUCUUAAGGAGUAUCAAUUGGAGGGCAAGUCUGGUGCCAGCAGCCGCGGUAAUUCCAGCUCCAAUAGCGUAUAUUAAAGCUGUUGCGGUUAAAAAGCUCGUAGUUGGAUCUGUGCUCCGCACCGCCGGUCCCCGCCCUGCGGAGCGACUGGCAGGUUUGCGGAGCGUCCUGCCGGUGGGAGGUCUUUGCCGGCGGCGGUUCUCGUCCGCGUCUCCGGCUCUGGGUACUCCGCAUUCGCGUUCAGUCGGCCGAUUUAUCGGUACGACGGCGGUGCGUCCCCAGUGUCCGGGUCUCGGGCGGUCCGUCGAUGCGUGCGCUCCCGGUUUCGCGAUCCUGCCGAAGGUGCUCUUAAACGAGUGUCGAGGCGGGCCGGCAUGUUUACUUUGAACAAAUUAGAGUGCUUAAAGCAGGCUGGACUCGCCUGAAUGCUGUGUGCAUGGAAUAAUGGAAUAGGACCUCGCUCCUACUUUAUUGGUUUUCUGGAGCAGAGGUAAUGAUUAACGGAGACAGGCGGGGGCAUUCGUAUUGCGACGUUAGAGGUGAAAUUCUUGGAUCGUCGCAAGACGAACAGAAGCGAAAGCAUUUGCCAAGGAUGUUCUCGUUGAUCAAGAACGAAAGUCAGAGGUUCGAAGGCGAUCAGAUACCGCCCUAAUUCUGACCGUAAACGCUGCCAUCUGGUUAUUCGCCCACGUUACAACUUAUAUGACUGGGCGAGCAACCCUCGGGAAACCAAAGAUUUUGGGUUCCGGGGGAAGUAUGGUUGCAAAGCUGAAACUUAAAGGAAUUGACGGAAGGGCACCACCAGGAGUGGAGCCUGCGGCUUAAUUUGACUCAACACGGGAAACCUCACCAGGCCCGGACACUGGAAGGAUUGACAGAUUGAUAGCUCUUUCUUGAUUCAGUGGGUGGUGGUGCAUGGCCGUUCUUAGUUGGUGGAGCGAUUUGUCUGGUUAAUUCCGAUAACGAACGAGACUCUAGCCUGCUAACUAGUCGAUGGGAGUUUUCCCAAUCCGGCAUCCUCUUACGGCUGCCGGCGAACACAAUUCUUCUUAGAGGGACAGGCGGCUCCUAGCCGCACGAGAUUGAGCAAUAACAGGUCUGUGAUGCCCUUAGAUGUUCUGGGCCGCACGCGCGCUACAAUGAAGGUAUCAACGUGUGUCCCUAGGCCGAGAGGCCCGGGUAACCCGCUGAACCACCUUCGUGCUUGGGACUGGGGCUUGAAAUUGUUCCCCAUGAACGAGGAAUUCCCAGUAAAGGCGUGUCACUAGCACGCCUUGAUUACGUCCCUGCCCUUUGUACACACCGCCCGUCGCUACUACCGAUUGAAUGAAUUAGUGAGGUCUUCGGACCAGCGCGCGGUUCUCGUCCGUCAGGACCCCCGUCGCUGCAGGGAAGAUGAUCGAACUUGUUCAUUUA